rnacentral:rRNA from 1 species
AGUGAACGCUGGCGGUAGGCCUAACACAUGCAAGUCGAACGGCAGCACAGUAAGAGCUUGCUCUUACGGGUGGCGAGUGGCGGACGGGUGAGGAAUACAUCGGAAUCUACUUUUUCGUGGGGGAUAACGUAGGGAAACUUACGCUAAUACCGCAUACUACCUACGGGUGAAAGCAGGGGAUCUUCUGACCUUGCGCGAUUGAAUGAGCCGAUGUCGGAUUAGCUAGUUGGCGGGGUAAAGGCCCACCAAGGCGACGAUCCGUAGCUGGUCUGAGAGGAUGAUCAGCCACACUGGAACUGAGACACGGUCCAGACUCCUACGGGAGGCAGCAGUGGGGAAUAUUGGACAAUGGGCGCAAGCCUGAUCCAGCCAUACCGCGUGGGUGAAGAAGGCCUUCGGGUUGUAAAGCCCUUUUGUUGGGAAAGAAAAGCAGCAGGUUAAUACCCCGCUGUUCUGACGGUACCCAAAGAAUAAGCACCGGCUAACUUCGUG